rnacentral:rRNA from 1 species
AUUGAACGCUGGCGGCAUGCCUUACACAUGCAAGUCGAACGGUAACGGGUCCUUCGAGAUGCCGACGAGUGGCGAACGGGUGAGUAAUAUAUCGGAACGUGCCCAGUAGUGGGGGAUAACUGCUCGAAAGAGCAGCUAAUACCGCAUACGACCUGAGGGUGAAAGGGGGGGAUCGCAAGACCUCUCGCUAUUGGAGCGGCCGAUAUCAGAUUAGCUAGUUGGUGGGGUAAAGGCCUACCAAGGCAACGAUCUGUAGUUGGUCUGAGAGGACGACCAGCCACACUGGGACUGAGACACGGCGCAGACUCCUACGGGAGGCAGCAGUGGGGAAUGUUGGACAAUGGGCGCAAGCCUGAUCCAGCAAUGCCGCGUGCAGGAAGAAGGCCUUCGGGUUGUAAACUGCUUCUGUCAGGGAAGAAAUCUUCUGGGCUAAUACCCCGGGAGGAUGACGGUACCUGAAGAAUAAGCACCGGCUAACUACGUGCCAGCCGCCGCCGUAA